AAAACAGGGAGCAUCGAUGCUCACAAUGUUCCCUUACUGGAUAUGACAUGCUUUCUGAAUGGUGGACAGACUCUUAGCCAACUUCCAUUUACAAAUGGUCACGGGGAACCUGGAGCCUAUCCCAGGGAGCAUCGGGCACAAGGCAGGAUACACCCUGGACAGGGUGCCAAUCCAUCGCAGGGCACAAUCACAUACACACACCCAUUCAUACACUACGGACACUUUGGACAUGCCAAUCAACCUACCAUGCAUGUCUUGGGGAGGAAACUGGAGUACCGCAGAAUGAGAACAUGCAAACUCCGCACACACAGGGCCACAGUGGGAAUUGAACACCUGACCCUGGAGGUGUGAGGCGAACAUGCUAACCCCUCAGCCACCGUGCGCCCCAUGUGAAGCAAUGUGAUGAUAUAAAAUAAAAAAUAUCCAUAUAUCGCCAUGGCCUUUGUUUUCGACUCAGGACAGCUGUUAUUUGCUGCUAUGUGGACGCUGUACACAACAAUGCUUCACCUUUGCAUGUUUGCUGAGAAUAAGCUAAUGGUUGAGAGGCAGGAAUUUGGCCAAUAGUUGCUGCAAGCCUUUUAUAAUCAACCAGUUGGUGUGUUGGAAGGUGGGAAAUACAGAGAGAGGUUGAAGCAAUGCAAAUAUGCGUACACAUGAUGCAGUAUUAGACCAUAAGUACAUCAUAAUGAAACUAAAACAGAAUCGAGUACAAUUUCUCAAAUUUAGACACUUUUUUUAAGGUCCGGGAAAAAGAGGACGUAUGGUCACCCUAACAA
ensembl:lncRNA